CCUACGGGGCGCAGCAGUGAGGAAUAUUGGUCAAUGGCCGGAAGGCUGAACCAGCCAUGCCGCGUGAAGGUCAGUGCACUAUGGGCGUUAAACUUCUUUUGUGCGGGAGCAAUAAUGGUCACGUGUGGCCAGACGAGAGUACCGUACGAAUAAGCAUCGGCUAACUACGUGCCAGCAGCCGCGGUCAUACGGGGGAUGCAAGCGUUAUCGGGAUUUAUUGGGUUUAAAGGGUGCGUAGGCUGUGAGGUAAGUCAGCGGUGAAAUGCCCCCGCUCAACGGGGUGAAGUGCCAUUGAUACUGCCGUGCUGGAAUGCGGAUGCCGUGGGAGGAAUGUGUGGUGUAGCGGUGAAAUGCAUAGAUAUCACACAGAACACCGAUUGCGAAGGCAUCUCACGAAUCCGCGAUUGACGCUGAUGCACGAAAGCGUGGGUAUCAAACAGGAUUAGAUACCCCAGUAGUC
rnacentral:rRNA from 1 species